GGAGACGUCGCAUAGCCAGGUCGAGUGCGCCUCCCUGCUAAGGAGGUAGGGGUUCACGCCCCUCGAGGGUUCAAAUCCCUCCGUCUCCGCCA
rnacentral:tRNA from 1 species